UGAAGCCUUAGGAAGCACCCUGGUUAUCUUCACUAACAAAAACAACAGCCACUUACAGAUAGAUUCUUAGCUUGGCAUGAGUUUGUUGAAGAGAGAGGUGGGGGAAGAACAAUGGGUGUGUUGAGUAGUUUCCGGUAGCCUGACAAAAGCUCUAUCAGACUCUGGAAUGGCUUGCCAUAAGAGAAAAUAAGAAGAGAUGGAGGAAUAGGGCUCGAAUUUGAAGGGUUCCAUGGAUAAGAGUGAUGGUUGCUCUCUCUGGAUGUGGUUUAUAGCUAGUGGUGAAGUAGUGGGUGUGGUUGUGUUUAAUGGAUAGGAGAUGGCCCUUUUUAUAGCCUCUGGAAGCUCCUCCUUUCCAAGAAACCCUAAUGGUUUCUCUUGAACUUUGCCAAGUCUCCCAUUUCAUUUCUUUUCUCUCCUUUUGAUUCACCCCAUUUUGUGAAAUCUUCCUCUGUCCAAACAUACAAAGACAAAAUUUUUGGGAGCUCUAAGGCCUUCCCGCAGCUGCUUCAGUGUUGAACUCCUAUUUUUG
rnacentral:lncRNA from 1 species